UACGUAGGAGGCAAGCGUUGUCCGGAAUUACUGGGCGUAAAGCGCGUGUAGGCGGUUUCGCAAGUCAGGUGUGAAAGCCCAGGGCUCAACCCUGGAAGUGCACAUGAUACUACGGAGCUUGAGUACUGAAGAGGAGAGCGGAAUUCCCGGUGUAGAGGUGAAAUUCGUAGAUAUCGGGAGGAACACCAGUGGCGAAGGCGGCUCUCUGGGCAGAUACUGACGCUGAGACGCGAAAGCGUGGGUAGCAAACAGG
rnacentral:rRNA from 1 species